rnacentral:rRNA from 1 species
GCAAGUCGAACGUGAGGGGGAGCAAUCUCCUGAAAGUGGCGAACGGGUGAGUAACACGUAGGUGACCUGCCUCGGAGUGGGGGAUAACAGUUGGAAACGGCCGCUAAUACCGCAUAAGGUGAGUAAAGCGGGAGCUUUGCUUGCGAAAACUCUGGUGCUUCGAGAGGGGCCUGCGUCCGAUUAGCUAGUUGGUGGGGUAAAGGCCUACCAAGGCGAUGAUCGGUAGCUGGUCUGAGAGGACGAUCAGCCACACGGGAACUGAGAAACGGUCCCGACUCCUACGGGGGGCAGCAGUGAGGAAUAUUGGGCAAUGGGCGGAAGCCUGACCCAGCAACGCCGCGUGGAGGAUGAAGGCUUUCGGGUCGUAAACUCCUUUUAUGGGGGAAGAGUGAGGACGGUACCCCAGGAAUAAGUCACGGCUAACUACGUGCCAGCAGCCGCGGUAAUACGUAGGUGACGAGCGUUAUCCGGAAUUACUGGGCGUAAAGCGCACGCAGGCGGUUGAGAUAGUCUGGCGUAAAAUCUCCUGGCUUAACUGGGAGGGGUCGUUGGAAACUGCUCGACUUGAGGCAACGAGAGGGGUGUAGAAUUCCCGGUGUAGUGGUGGAAUGCGUAGAUAUCGGGAGGAAUACCAGAGGCGAAAGCGGCACCCUGGCGUUAGCCUGACGCUCAUGUGCGAAGGCGUGGGGAGCGAACGGGAUUAGAUACCCCGGUAGUCCACGCGGUAAACGAUGAAUACUGGGUGUAGGUGAUGUGAAAGUCAUCUGUGCCGAAGCAAACGCGCUAAGUAUUCCGCCUGGGGAGUACGGCCGCAAGGCUAAAACUCAAAGGAAUUGACGGGGGCCCGCACAAGCAGCGGAGCGUGUGGUUUAAUUCGAUUCAACGCGAAGAACCUUACCUGGGCUUGACAUGCUGGUAGUAGAAACCUGAAAGGGUGACGAGCCCGCAAGGGAAGCCAGCACAGGUGCUGCAUGGCUGUCGUCAGCUCGUGCCGUGAGGUGUUAGGUUAAGUCCUGCAGCGAGCGCAACCCCUGUGGUUAGUUGCUAAGUUCGGUGAUGAAUCGGACAGCACUCUAAUCAGACUGCCUGUGAAAAGCAGGAGGAAGGUGGGGAUGACGUCAAGUCAGUAUGGUCCUUAUGUCCAGGGCUGCACACGUGCUACAAUGAUAGGUACAGAAGGAUGCAAAGCCGCGAGGUGGAGCAAAUCCCCAAAACCUAUCUCAGUUCAGAUUGAAGGCUGCAACUCGCCUUCAUGAAGCUGGAAUCGCUAGUAAUGGCGCAUCAGCUACGGCGCCGUGAAUACGUUCCCGGGCCUUGUACACACCGCCCGUCACAUCAUGAAAGUCGACUGCACCCGAAGUCAUCUAUACAACCCGCAAGGGAGAAAGAUGCCGAAGGUGUGGUUGAUGAUUGGGC